rfam:Microgenomates (Woesebacteria) bacterium GW2011_GWB1_45_5 TX13_C0022, whole genome shotgun sequence.
GCUGAGGUAGCCAAGGUGGUCAAGGCGGGCGCCUGAAGAGCGUCAAAUAUGUGUUCGACUCACAUCCUCAGCA